rnacentral:rRNA from 1 species
AUUGAACGCUGGCGGCAGGCCUAACACAUGCAAGUCGAACGAGUGGCGGACGGGUGAGUAAUGUCUGGGAACCUGCCCGAUGGAGGGGGAUAACUACUGGAAACGGUAGCUAAUACCGCAUACCAUCGGAUGUGCCCAUAUGGGAUUAGCUAGUAGGUGGGGUAACGGCUCACCUAGGCGACGAUCCCUAGCUGGUCUGAGAGGAUGACCCGUCACACUGGAACUGAGACACGGUCCAGACUCCGACGGGAGGCAGCAGUGGGGAAUAUUGCACAAUGGGCGCAAGCCUGAGGCAGCCAUGCCGCGUGUAUGAAGAAGGCCUUCGGGUUGUAAAGUACUUUCAGCGAGGAGGCGUUACUCGCAGAAGAAGCACCGGCUAACUCCGUGCCAGCCGCCGCGGUAAUUC